AGAUUGAACGCUGGCGGCAUGCCUUACACAUGCAAGUCGAACGGUAGAGUAGCAAUACUCGAGAGUGGCGAACGGGUGAGUAAUAUAUCGGAACGUGCCCAGUCGUGGGGGAUAACGUAGAGAAAUUUACGCUAAUACCGCAUACGAUCUAAGGAUGAAAGCGGGGGACUCGCAAGAGCCUCGCGCGAUUCGGAGCGGCUGAUAUCAGAGUUAGGUUGUUGGUAGAGGUAAAAAGCUACACCAAGCCGACGAUCUGUAGCUGGUUUGAGAGAACGACCAGACCACACUGGGACUGAGACACGGCCCAGACUCCGUACGGAGGCAGCGAGUGGGAAUUUUGGACAAGUGGGCGAAAGCCGUAGACUCCGACGUAC
rnacentral:rRNA from 1 species